ACGAGUUUUGAAGUGGGUUUGAUGCUGGUCUUCACAGGCAUGUGCUCGCCCUACUCUCAUCCACUCACACCUGUGCACCUAUAAAUGCUGGAAGUUAUUGUCCUUUGGAGAGUGCUUCUUUGCGUUUAAUUUUCACAAACUCUUGAAUGUCAUAGAAUGUUCAUGGCCUACGGGCUUCAUAAAUGAAAUA
rnacentral:misc_RNA from 1 species